rnacentral:rRNA from 1 species
GUUUGAUCCUGGCUCAGAACGAACGCUGGCGGCGUGGAUAAGACAUGCAAGUCGAGCGAGAUUUUUCGUUGUAGCAAUACGAUGGAAAGUCUAGCGGCGAACGGGUGCUUAACACGUGGGCAACCUGCCAUGAAGUGGGGGAUAGCUCGCCGAAAGGCGAAUUAAUACCGCAUGUGAUUAGAGAGGACAUCCUUUCGAAAUUAAAGUCGGGGCAACCUGACGCUUCUUGUGGGGCCCGCGGCCUAUCAGCUAGUUGGUGAGGUAACGGCUCACCAAGGCUUUGACGGGUAGCUGGUCUGAGAGGACGACCAGCCACACUGGGACUGAGACACGGCCCAGACACCUACGGGUGGCAGCAGUCGAGAAUUUUUGACAAUGGGGGAAACCCUGAUCGAGCGACGCCGCGUGGAGGAUGAAGGUCUUCGGAUUGUAAACUCCUGUCAUUGGGGAACAAGGUGCAUACGUUAACUGCGUGUGUAUUGAUAGUACCCGAAGAGGAAGAGACGGCUAACUCUGUGCCAGCAGCCGCGGUAAUACAGAGGUCUCAAGCGUUGUUCGGAUUCAUUGGGCGUAAAGGGUGCGUAGGCGGCGCGGUAAGUCGGGUGUGAAAUCUCGGAGCUUAACUCCGAAACUGCAUUCGAUACUGCCGUGCUUGAGGACUGGAGAGGAGACUGGAAUUUACGGUGUAGCGGUGAAAUGCGUAGAUAUCGUAAGGAAGACCAGUGGCGAAGGCGGGUCUCUGGACAGUUCCUGACGCUGAGGCACGAAGGCCAGGGGAGCAAACGGGAUUAGAUACCCCGGUAGUCCUGGCAGUAAACGGUGCACGUUUGGUGUGGGAGGAUUCGACCCCCUCUGCGCC